rnacentral:rRNA from 1 species
AUUGGGUAGGGGAGCGUUCUGUAAGCGGUUGAAGGUGUGUGGUAACGCAUGCUGGACGUAUCAGAAGUGCGAAUGCUGACAUGAGUAACGAUAAAGGGGGUGAAAAACCUCCUCGCCGGAAGACCAAGGGUUCCUGUCCAACGUUAAUCGGGGCAGGGUAAGUCGACCCCUAAGGCGAGGCCGAAAGGCGUAGUCGAUGGGAAACGGGUUAAUAUUCCCGUACUUCUUACAAUUGCGAUGGGGGGACGGAGAAGGCUAGGUGGGCCUGGCGACGGUUGUCCAGGUUCAAGUGCGUAGGCUUAAGAGUUAGGUAAAUCCGGCUCUUUCUAAGGCUGAGACACGACGUCGAGCACCUACGGGUGUGAAGUCAUUGAUGCCAUGCUUCCAGGAAAAGCCUCUAAGCUUCAGAUUGUAAGGAAUCGUACCCCAAACCGACACAGGUGGUCGGGUAGAGAAUACCAAGGCGCUUGAGAGAACUCGGGUGAAGGAACUAGGCAAAAUGGUACCGUAACUUCGGGAGAAGGUACGCUCUCGACGGUGAAGUCCCUCGCGGAUGGAGCUAUUGAGAGUCGCAGAUACCAGGUGGCUGCAACUGUUUAUUAAAAACACAGCACUGUGCAAAAUCGUAAGAUGACGUAUACGGUGUGACGCCUGCCCGGUGCCGGAAGGUUAAUU